rnacentral:rRNA from 1 species
UACGUAGGGUGCGAGCGUUGUCCGGAUUCAUUGGGCGUAAAGGGUGCGUAGGUGGCGUCGUAAGUCGGGUGUGAAAUCUCGGAGCUUAACUCCGAAACUGCAUUCGAUACUGCCGUGCUUGAGGACUGGAGAGGAGACUGGAAUUUACGGUGUAGCGGUGAAAUGCGUAGAUAUCGUAAGGAAGACCAGUGGCGAAGGCGGGUCUCUGGACAGUUCCUGACGCUGAGGCACGAAGGUCAGGGGAGCAAACGGG